UCCCUGAUGGUUCAGUGGCUAAGACUCUGCGCUCCUCAUGCAGGGGACCCAGGUUCGAUCCCUGGUCAGGGAA